rnacentral:tRNA from 1 species
CUGAGAAAGAUAUAGUGGUUAUAGUGUUGGCUUGAAACCAGUAAUAGAGGGUUCGAUUCCUUCCUUUCUUA